UAUGGAUUUACUAGAUUGUGUUGGUUCUUCUACCGAUCGAACUUCAUCAAGUUUAAUUUUUGAGAUAUUAAUUCUUUCACCAAAGAACUCCUUUUCUAAAAAGACAGCCCUAUUGCUGACGAACACCUUCUGUUUGUUAGCAAGGUAGAAGUAAUAUCUCUUGAUUUCUUUUGGAUAUCCUAUAAAUAGAUAUUUGUCAGACUUAGAUCUA
rnacentral:lncRNA from 1 species